AUCAAGGGUUACAAGGAGGAAGGCCGUUCAUGCUUGCAUGAUAAGGACUUUCUCUUUGGAAGCCGCCGCACAUGAGGAAGUAGCGAUUUGCGGAGCAAAUCUGCGGAUUCCGAAUGGGCGUAGAAUUGCGGGAGCCGUAAGGCGGAGCAAUUCGUGAUAU
rnacentral:sRNA from 1 species